rnacentral:rRNA from 1 species
UACGGAGGGGCUAGCGUUGUUCGGAAUUACUGGGCGUAAAGCGCACGUAGGCGGCUUUGUAAGUUAGAGGUGAAAGCCCAGGGCUCAACCCUGGAAUUGCCUUUAAGACUGCAUCGCUUGAAUUGUGGAGAGGUAAGUGGAAUUCCGAGUGUAGAGGUGAAAUUCGUAGAUAUUCGGAAGAACACCAGUGGCGAAGGCGGCUCACUGGUCCGGUACUGACGCUGAGGUGGCGAAAGCGUGGGGAGCAAACAGG